UACGUAGGGGGCAAGCGUUGUCCGGAUUUAUUGGGCGUAAAGAGCGUGUAGGCGGCCUGGUAGGUCAGCUGUGAAAACUCGAGGCUCAACCUCGAGACGUCGGUUGAAACCACCUGGCUAGAGUCCGGAAGAGGAGAGUGGAAUUCCCGGUGUAGCGGUGAAAUGCGCAGAUAUCGGGAGGAACACCCGUGGCGAAGGCGGCUCUCUGGGACGGUACUGACGCUGAGACGCGAAAGCGUGGGGAGCGAACAGG
rnacentral:rRNA from 1 species